GACGAACGCUGGCGGCGUGCUUAACACAUGCAAGUCGAACGGAAAGGCCCUGCUUUUGUGGGGUGCUCGAGUGGCGAACGGGUGAGUAACACGUGAGUAACCUGCCCUUGACUUUGGGAUAACUUCAGGAAACUGGGGCUAAUACCGGAUAGGAGCUCCUGCUGCAUGGUGGGGGUUGGAAAGUUUCGGCGGUUGGGGAUGGACUCGCGGCUUAUCAGCUUGUUGGUGGGGUAGUGGCUUACCAAGGCUUUGACGGGUAGCCGGCCUGAGAGGGUGACCGGCCACAUUGGGACUGAGAUACGGCCCAGACUCCUACGGGAGGCAGCAGUGGGGAAUAUUGCACAAUGGGCGGAAGCCUGAUGCAGCAACGCCGCGUGCGGGAUGACGGCCUUCGGGUUGUAAACCGCUUUCGCCUGUGACGAAGCGUGAGUGACGGUAAUGGGUAAAGAAGCACCGGCUAACUACGUGCCAGCAGCCGCGGUGAUACGUAGGGUGCGAGCGUUGUCCGGAUUUAUUGGGCGUAAAGGGCUCGUAGGUGGUUGAUCGCGUCGGAAGUGUAAUCUUGGGGCUUAACCCUGAGUGUGCUUUCGAUACGGGUUGACUUGAGGAAGGUAGGGGAGAAUGGAAUUCCUGGUGGAGCGGUGGAAUGCGCAGAUAUCAGGAGGAACACCAGUGGCGAAGGCGGUUCUCUGGGCCUUUCCUGACGCUGAGGAGCGAAAGCGUGGGGAGCGAACAGGCUUAGAUACCCUGGUAGUCCACGCUGUAAACGGUGGGUACUAGGUGUGGGGUCCAUUCCACGGGUUCCGUGCCGUAGCUAACGCUUUAAGUACCCCGCCUGGGGAGUACGGCCGCACGGCUAAAACUCAAAGGAAUUGACGGGGCCCCGCACAAGCGGCGGAGCAUGCGGAUUAAUUCGAUGCAACGCGUAGAACCUUACCUGGGUUUGACAUGGAUCGGGAGUGCUCAGAGAUGGGUGUGCCUCUUUUGGGGUCGGUUCACAGGUGGUGCAUGGCUGUCGUCAGCUCGUGUCGUGAGAUGUUGGGUUAAGUCCCGCAACGAGCGCAACCCUUGUUCACUGUUGCCAGCACGUUAUGGUGGGGACUCAGUGGAGACCGCCGGGGUCAACUCGGAGGAAGGUGGGGAUGACGUCAAGUCAUCAUGCCCCUUAUGUCCAGGGCUUCACGCAUGCUACAAUGGCUGGUACAGAGAGUGGCGAGCCUGUGAGGGUGAGCGAAUCUCGGAAAGCCGGUCUCAGUUCGGAUUGGGGUCUGCAACUCGACCUCAUGAAGUCGGAGUCGCUAGUAAUCGCAGAUCAGCAACGCUGCGGUGAAUACGUUCCCGGG
rnacentral:rRNA from 1 species